UACAGGGGGUGCAAGCGUUGUUCGGAAUUAUUGGGCGUAAAGCGCGUGUAGGCGGCCUUGCAAGUCGGGUGUGAAAGCCCUCAGCUCAACUGAGGAAGCGCGCCCGAAACUGCAGAGCUUGAGUACCGGAGAGGAUGGCGGAAUUCCCCAAGUAGAGGUGAAAUUCGUAGAUAUGGGGAGGAACACCGGUGGCGAAGGCGGCCAUCUGGACGGAUACUGACGCUGAGACGCGAAAGCGUGGGGAGCAAACAGG
rnacentral:rRNA from 1 species